UACGGAGGGAGCUAGCGUUGUUCGGAUUUACUGGGCGUAAAGCGCACGUAGGCGGCGCCGUAAGUCAGGGGUGAAAUCCCGGAGCUCAACUCCGGAACUGCCCUUGAAACUGCAGUGCUAGAAUCCUGGAGAGGCGAGUGGAAUUCCGAGUGUAGAGGUGAAAUUCGUAGAUAUUCGGAAGAACACCAGUGGCGAAGGCGACUCGCUGGACAGGUAUUGACGCUGAGGUGCGAAAGCGUGGGGAGCAAACAGG
rnacentral:rRNA from 1 species